UACGGGAGGCAGCAGUGGGGAAUAUUGCACAAUGGGCGCAAGCCUGAUGCAGCCACGCCGCGUGUAUGAAGAAGGCCUUCGGGUUGUAAAGUACUUUCAGUCGUGAGGAAGGUGUUAAGGUUAAUAACCUUAGCAAUUGACGUUAGCGACAGAAGAAGCACCGGCUAACUCCGUGCCAGCAGCCGCGGUAAUACGGAGGGUGCGAGCGUUAAUCGGAAUUACUGGGCGUAAAGGGCACGCAGGCGGUUAAUUAAGUUGGAUGUGAAAUCCCCGGGCUUAACCUGGGAAUGGCAUUCAAGACUGGUUAGCUAGAGUCUUGUAGAGGGGGUAGAAUUCCGAUGUGUAGCGGUGAAAUGCGUAGAGAUGUGGAGGAAUACCGGUGGCGAAGGCGGCCCCUGGACAAAGACUGACGCUCAUGUGCGAAAGCGUGGGGAGCAAACAGGGAUUAGAUACCCGU
rnacentral:rRNA from 1 species